GGGUGAGCGGCGGACGGGUGAGUAACGCGUGGGAAUAUGCCCUUCUCUAAGGAAUAGCCUCUGGAAACGGAGAGUAAUACCUUAUACGCCCUUUGGGGGAAAGAUUUAUCGGAGAAGGAUUAGCCCGCGUUAGAUUAGGUAGUUGGUGGGGUAAUGGCCUACCAAGCCUACGAUCUAUAGCUGGUUUGAGAGGAUGAUCAGCCACACUGGGACUGAGACACGGCCCAGACUCCUACGGGAGGCAGCAGUAGGGAAUCUUAGACAAUGGGGGCAACCCUGAUCUAGCCAUGCCGCGUGUGUGAUGAAGGCCCUAGGGUCGUAAAGCACUUUCGCCAGAGAUGAUAAUGACAGUAUCUGGUAAGAAACCCCGGCUAACUCCGUGCCAGCAGCCGCGGUAAUACGGAGGGGGUUAGCGUUGUUCGGAAUUACUGGGCGUAAAGCGCACGUAGGCGGAUUAGUAAGUUAGAGGUGAAAUCCCAGGGCUCAACCCUGGAACUGCCUUUAAUACUGCUAGUCUUGAGUUCGAGAGAGGUAAGUGGAAUUCUGAGUGUAGAGGUGAAAUUCGUAGAUAUUCGGAGGAACACCAGUGGCGAAGGCGGCUUACUGGCUCGAUACUGACGCUGAGGUGCGAAAGUGUGGGGAGCAAACAGGAUUAGAUACCCUGGUAGUCCACACCGUAAACGAUGAAUGCCAGACGUCAGCAAGUAUACUUGUUGGUGUCACACCUAACGGAUAAGCAUUCCGCCUGGGA
rnacentral:rRNA from 1 species